CUUAACCAUUAGGCUAGGAGGCUAGCAGGUCCUUAACUAUUAGGCUAGCAGGCUAGCAGGGCCCUGAUCAUUAGGCUAGCUGGCUACCAGGAUCUUAACCAUUAGGCUAGGAGGCUAGCAGGUCCUUAACCAUUAGGCUAGCAGGCUACCAGGUCCUUAACUAUUAGGCUAGCAGGCUAGCAGGGUCCUGAUCAUUAGGCUAGCAGGCUACCAGGUCCUUAACCAUUAGGCUAGCAGGCUACCAGGUCCUUAACUAUUAGGCUAGCAGGCUAGCAGGGCCCUGAUCAUUAGGCUAGCUGGCUACCAGGAUCUUAACCAUUAGGCUAGGAGGCUACCAGGUCCUUAACUAUUAGGCUAGCAGGCUAGCAGGGCCCUGAUCAUUAGGCUAGCUGGCUACCAGGUCCUUAACCAUUAGGCUAGCAGGCUACCAGGUCCUUAACUAUUAGGCUAGCAGGCUAGCAGGGCCCUGAUGAUUAGGCUAGCUGGCUACCAGGAUCUUAACCAUUAGGCUAGGAGGCUACCAGGUCCUUAACUAUUAGGCUAGCAGGCUAGCAGGGUCCUGAUCAUUAGGCUAGCUGGCUACCAGGUCCUUAACCAUUAGGCUAGCUGGCUACCAGGUCCUUAACCAUUAGGCUAGCAGGCUACAUAAGGUACUAGUUUUGCAUGACUAGCGCGAGGCUGGUGGUUAGGGCUGGGAUUGGAGGAACAAAAUGAGGGAAGCUGAGAGGAAAUAAAAUGUGCUUCUCAGAGAGAGGCCUUUUGACCUGGUUAGAUACAUCCUUGUCUCAGUCACUAUUACUGCAUCACAAAUGGGCUCCUGUUCCCUAUAUAGUACUUUUGAAGUAGGGCACGAUAUAUGGAAUGGGGUGGCGUUUGGGACGCAAAGCUAAAUCUUCUAUGUAAGCUAGAUGUUCCACUCCUCACAGCAUGUGAUGAGAUACUAUGGACUACAG
rnacentral:lncRNA from 1 species